rnacentral:rRNA from 1 species
UACGGAGGGUGCAAGCGUUGUUCGGAAUUACUGGGCGUAAAGCGGGUGUAGGCGGCCUCGCAAGUCAGGUGUGAAAUCCCUGGGCCCAACCCAGGAACUGCAUUUGAUACUGCAAGGCUCGAGUCCCGGAGAGGAUGGCGGAAUUCCAGGUGUAGAGGUGAAAUUCGUAGAUAUCUGGAGGAACACCAGCGGCGAAGGCGGCCAUCUGGACGGUGACUGACGCUCAGACCCGAAAGCGUGGGGAGCAAACAGG